AGACUUUUAACAACGGAUCUCUUGGUUCUGGCAUCGAUGAAGAACGCAGCGAAAUGCGAUAAGUAAUGUGAAUUGCAGAAUUCAGUGAAUCAUCGAAUCUUUGAACGCACAUUGCGCCCCCUGGUAUUCCGGGGGGCAUGCCUGUUCGAGCGUCAUUU
rnacentral:rRNA from 1 species